rnacentral:tRNA from 1 species
GGAGGGGUGCCCGAGUGGUUUAAGGGAGCGGUCUUGAACACCGUCGCAGCGCAAGCUGUCGUGGGUUCGAAUCCCACCCCCUCCGCCA